UUUUUUUUUCUUUUUUAGUCUAAAUUAGUAAUAUUUAGGAAUUCAUCUUCAUGCAAAGCUAAUAUCCAUUAGAAGUCCAAACCGAAAAAGAAAAUUCUUCCAAGUUUACUUGGAUUAAUAACUUCACAAACGUAUGAGCUUCUAUAGCAAAUCAAAGGAGAAACUGAAAAAGGUUAAGAAGGUAACAUAGAAAGACAAAAUUCUUAAGCAUUUUUAAUGCAAUGGCAGCAACAGUGGCCUCAGGGAAAAACAACACUUUUCUAAAGCUUAUUAAUGCCUACACUGAAGGCACUGAGACUAAAUACACCAUCUGCACAAAGAAUGUCAGUCUACGGAACCACUAUUAACAGAGUGCAGAGAGAGAUGGAAAGAACUCAACCCAAACACAAGAUUGCAUUUAACUGUGUGGGGUUUUAUUUGAAGGAAUCUGAUUUCAUGUUUCCAAAUUCUUUCAGUCUAACCAAAACACAAAAGAAAAAACUAAAAUUUACCUGAUAAUGUUACUGAUUCUGAAAUAUAUAUAUUUAAAUUAAAGAUGAGUAAUGAGGGGGUUUUAUUACUCCCUCAUUUUUAAGGUUUUUUUUUUUAAUUUAAAAUUUUUAAAUGGUGGAUAGCUUGUGUUCACAAAUGGAUUCUUUGGUUAUAUACUCUCUAAAGUGGUUGGUUCCCUCUGGGAUGUUGCUGCCAAGACCUGUUCAAAGUCAUCCGGCAGUAAUUUUUAUGAUGCCUGAAAGGACCCCUUUAUUGUGGCCCAAAUUUUGCAAGGUUUAUUAUGUUCAAUUCCACAUUUUCAGGUGGCAUUUCCCAUGUUUUAGUCGCCCUAGAUUCUGAAGAAAGGGGGAAAAACCAACCAACCAACCCAGGCUUCCUUCUUUUGGAGGCUAAUCCUUUUCCCUUUAAAAUAAUUUCCUCUGUUUCCUUACGAUACUAUGCUUUGAAACAGUCUAUAUAGAGACUGUUUUGACCUUUAAAAAAAAGCCUAAAACCUAUGAAUUUGAAUUUGUUUUCAAACCAAUUUAAAGUUGUAAUAGAGAAAUAUAUAUAUAUAUACACACACACACACAUAUAUAUAUGAAACAUCUUCAAAAAAGUUGUAUUGUGCUAUAGCUGUGUAAACAGGUAAAUACAUACUAUUUUCAGGAUAUUACCUAUAAUAUCAGUAACUGCCUUAGUUUAUAAAAGCUCCUAAAAUCUGAAAAUAAUAUCCACGUCUUAUAUAAUUAUAUAUAUAUAAUUAUAUCCUCAGUCUUAUAUAAUAAAAUACCAUGGACUGGGAGGUUUAAACAACAUACAUGAAUUCUUCACAGCUCUGGAGAUCAAGGCACCAGCAGAUUUGGUUCUUGGUCAGGGCUCUCUCCCUGGUUCAGAGAUGGUUGUCGUCUUCUCCCUGCGUCCCUAAAUGGAAGAAAGAAGCAGCUCUGGAGUCUCUUCAUCUUCUAAGGGCACUAAUCCCUUUAUGGGGACUCCACUAUCACGACCUCAUCUAAACCUAAUUAAUUCUUAAAGCCCUCACCCCCUAACACUCACACUGGAAGUUACCCUUUUAAGAUAUGGUUUGGGGGUGAACACAUUUAGUCCAUAACACCAAAUACAUGGUAUUUUGAGGCACCUUAACUUCUUUCUCUAAUUUUACUGUAUUCCAAUUAUACUCAAAUCCUUUGAAAGCUAAGGUAUAACUGAAUGUCAUGCUUUUGUGCUUAAAUGGAACUUCUUUCAGCUGAAAAAAAUAGACGGUACUUUGGGGAAAUAAACCAUAACAUUAUGAAGAAACAGGUAAAUGCAGUAGGUUAAUAUAAUUAUCUAAGGAUAUUAGUCUUCAAAUACAGUUUUAAACCUCUCCUGUAAUUCAUGGACAUAGAAAGAGCAAAUGAAGAAACUCAGUCUAAUUACCUAAAAAGAUUAUUUUUCUGGGAAAUAGAAAAUUUCAAUGAUAGAUCUAUUAAAUAUUAUAAACAUGCCUAUCAGAUGCCUAGAAAUAUUAAAUUAAAAAAUAAACUAUUUCUACACUUAACAUUCUAUUGUUUUCACUUAUUAGGAUAUAUGCUAACUUCUAGAUGACUGACUUGGUUAGAAAAGGAUGACCCUGAACCUGGAGGUUACUGAGAGCUAAAAAGAGAAUUCUACUAUUGAGUGAAUCCCAUGAUUGAUUAUCAGCAGUAGCUUUGUAUUAGUACACAGACUACUGCUAUACUCACUGUUUUAUUUAGCAGACUAUUCUGUAUGAGUUUUUUUUUUUAAUCAUUUUCAGACCCUAAGAUGUCUACAGUAUAACAGAAACUAGAAAGUAAGAGAAAUCAUUGCACUAGGUUCUUAUGCGCAUGGUCAACAUUUUUAUUCUUUUUCUUUAAAAAUUAGUAAUUCCUGGAGUUCCCGUCGAGGCACAGUGGUUAAUGAAUCUGACUAGGAAUCAUAAGGUUGUGGGUUCUAUCCCUGGCCUAGAUCAGUGGGGAUCGAACCUGCAACCUCAUGGUCCCUAGUCAGAUCCAUUAACCACUGCACCACAACGGGAACUGCUAAUAAACUUUAUUGUCCCUAGUAUUCUCAAUACAAUUUUCUAAGUUUUUAAAAAACAUUAACUGACUUAAUCGUAACAACUCUGUGAGGCACUUACCAUAACUAACAUCUUCGAUUUACUGAUAAGGAAACUAAGGAAUAGAGGCAUAUGUACCUUGCCCAAGGUUACAGAGCAAGCAAGUGAUGGGAAGAAAGAUUUGAAGUGAAAAAAAUGCCAGUGGAAUUUGGUAACUAGCUUUUUUUUUCUUCUUAAAGUUCUACUUUCUUCUAUACUACAAAUGGAACUGUAUUUCAACUUUCACUGCAAAAGAAGUUUUUAAUGCAGUCGGUGUUUUAAAAUGUGUACCUUUUCUUCUUGUAAAAUGACAUGUUCAUUAGCUUAAAUUACAUGGUGGUUCACUCCCUUGUGCUUCUGUCAUCCACACUUGAGAAUGCUCUGACCUAGAGAGAAGGAAAUUCUCACAACUCUCUAACUUCCUACUGUUUAGGGACCAUUGUCAUGUCAACAUCUCCUUCUCCCCUAAUUCUCUGCAGCCUCUGAAGAAACCUUCUGUAGAUAUAUUUAAUUGCCUCUUAGAAAAGGCUUGUACCUUGGCUUCCCUUCACUUCCUCCAGAGAACUAAAGGGUUGGAGAGGGCAGGAAAAGAGUUAAAUCAUCUUUACAAAACGAGCAAUCUUCCCAAAGCUUCCCAUUUUGUUUCUAAUAAAGAACAAAAAUAGAAAUUCCAAAAACAUUUCCAGAAAUCUACUGCAUUAGCAGGCAUGGUGAGAUUAUAAAGGAUAAAUGAUAUACAAUUACUGUGAUGAAGGAAGUACACCAAAUAAUAGUAAAUCAUAGGAAGAAUUUGAAUCCAUGAAGUUCAAAAAAGCAAACGAUCAUUUCCCUGAAUAAGAUCAUUGGAAAACUAAUGGCUACAAGACUUUUAAAAACAUUUUUAUAGACUACUACAUGCAACUUCAAAAGAGUUCUCUUUUUUUAUGACUCUAUAGGAUUAUUAUACUACUUGGAAAUAAUCAUUUCUUGGAAAUAAUCACCAGUCAGUAAAAUGUAAAAUAUCAAGUUCGGUUUAUUUAAGUUCCUACAAGAGCAACAUGGUAUACAUGGUGUGUGCGUGUAUAGUGUAUAUAUAUGGCUAAAGGAACACCACCAAGGAUUUCCUUACAGAGGAUAUCUCAUGUUA
rnacentral:lncRNA from 1 species